AGCGUACACGGUGGAUGCCCUGGCAGUCAGAGGCGAUGAAGGACGUGCUAAUCUGCGAUAAGCGUCGGUAAGGUGAUAUGAACCGUUAUAACCGGCGAUUUCCGAAUGGGGAAACCCAGUGUGAUUCGUCACACUAUCAUUAACUGAAUCCAUAGGUUAAUGAGGCGAACCGGGGGAACUGAAACAUCUAAGUACCCCGAGGAAAAGAAAUCAACCGAGAUUCCCCCAGUAGCGGCGAGCGAACGGGGAGCAGCCCAGAGCCUGAAUCAGUGUGUGUGUUAGUGGAAGCGUCUGGAAAGGCGCGCGAUACAGGGUGACAGCCCCGUACACAAAAAUGCACAUGCUGUGAGCUCGAUGAGUAGGGCGGGACACGUGGUAUCCUGUCUGAAUAUGGGGGGACCAUCCUCCAAGGCUAAAUACUCCUGACUGACCGAUAGUGAACCAGUACCGUGAGGGAAAGGCGAAAAGAACCCCGGCGAGGGGAGUGAAAAAGAACCUGAAACCGUGUACGUACAAGCAGUGGGAGCACGCUUAGGCGUGUGACUGCGUACCUUUUGUAUAAUGGGUCAGCGACUUAUAUUCUGUAGCAAGGUUAACCGAAUAGGGGAGCCGAAGGGAAACCGAGUCUUAACUGGGCGUUAAGUUGCAGGGUAUAGACCCGAAACCCGGUGAUCUAGCCAUGGGCAGGUUGAAGGUUGGGUAACACUAACUGGAGGACCGAACCGACUAAUGUUGAAAAAUUAGCGGAUGACUUGUGGCUGGGGGUGAAAGGCCAAUCAAACCGGGAGAUAGCUGGUUCUCCCCGAAAGCUAUUUAGGUAGCGCCUCGUGAAUUCAUCUCCGGGGGUAGAGCACUGUUUCGGCAAGGGGGUCAUCCCGACUUACCAACCCGAUGCAAACUGCGAAUACCGGAGAAUGUUAUCACGGGAGACACACGGCGGGUGCUAACGUCCGUCGUGAAGAGGGAAACAACCCAGACCGCCAGCUAAGGUCCCAAAGUCAUGGUUAAGUGGGAAACGAUGUGGGAAGGCCCAGACAGCCAGGAUGUUGGCUUAGAAGCAGCCAUCAUUUAAAGAAAGCGUAAUAGCUCACUGGUCGAGUCGGCCUGCGCGGAAGAUGUAACGGGGCUAAACCAUGCACCGAAGCUGCGGCAGCGACGCUGAUGCGUUGUUGGGUAGGGGAGCGUUCUGUAAGCCUGCGAAGGUGUGCUGUGAGGCAUGCUGGAGGUAUCAGAAGUGCGAAUGCUGACAUAAGUAACGAUAAAGCGGGUGAAAAGCCCGCUCGCCGGAAGACCAAGGGUUCCUGUCCAACGUUAAUCGGGGCAGGGUGAGUCGACCCCUAAGGCGAGGCCGAAAGGCGUAGUCGAUGGGAAACAGGUUAAUAUUCCUGUACUUGGUGUUACUGCGAAGGGGGGACGGAGAAGGCUAUGUUGGCCGGGCGACGGUUGUCCCGGUUUAAGCGUGUAGGCUGGUUUUCCAGGCAAAUCCGGAAAAUCAAGGCUGAGGCGUGAUGACGAGGCACUACGGUGCUGAAGCAACAAAUGCCCUGCUUCCAGGAAAAGCCUCUAAGCAUCAGGUAACAUCAAAUCGUACCCCAAACCGACACAGGUGGUCAGGUAGAGAAUACCAAGGCGCUUGAGAGAACUCGGGUGAAGGAACUAGGCAAAAUGGUGCCGUAACUUCGGGAGAAGGCACGCUGAUAUGUAGGUGAAGUCCCUCGCGGAUGGAGCUGAAAUCAGUCGAAGAUACCAGCUGGCUGCAACUGUUUAUUAAAAACACAGCACUGUGCAAACACGAAAGUGGACGUAUACGGUGUGACGCCUGCCCGGUGCCGGAAGGUUAAUUGAUGGGGUCAGCGCAAGCGAAGCUCUUGAUCGAAGCCCCGGUAAACGGCGGCCGUAACUAUAACGGUCCUAAGGUAGCGAAAUUCCUUGUCGGGUAAGUUCCGACCUGCACGAAUGGCGUAAUGAUGGCCAGGCUGUCUCCACCCGAGACUCAGUGAAAUUGAACUCGCUGUGAAGAUGCAGUGUACCCGCGGCAAGACGGAAAGACCCCGUGAACCUUUACUAUAGCUUGACACUGAACAUUGAGCCUUGAUGUGUAGGAUAGGUGGGAGGCUUUGAAGUGUGGACGCCAGUCUGCAUGGAGCCGACCUUGAAAUACCACCCUUUAAUGUUUGAUGUUCUAACGUUGACCCGU
rnacentral:rRNA from 1 species